rnacentral:rRNA from 1 species
GACAGAGGGUGCAAACGUUGUUCGGAAUUACUGGGCGUAAAGCGCGUGUAGGCGGUGGCGCAAGUCGGAUGUGAAAGCCCUCGGCUCAACCGGGGAAGUGCACUCGAAACUGCGUCACUAGAGUCUCGGAGAGGAUAGUGGAAUUCUCGGUGUAGAGGUGAAAUUCGUAGAUAUCGAGAGGAACACCGGUGGCGAAGGCGGCUAUCUGGACGAUGACUGACGCUGAGACGCGAAAGCGUGGGGAGCAAACAGG